rnacentral:misc_RNA from 1 species
ACUUCUUCAGCAAGCCUACGCUGAGCUGUGUUGGGCAAAUAGCCGGGUCUCUUCAUUCCCAUCUCCAACUCAUCAAUCACAUCCAAGUCCAAGAAAGUAAGUAUCUUGAGGAACCUAAUAACAUCGGCAUCAGGUACAGAGAAGAAGUAUUGAUAGAACUUGGAUGGAGAUAAAAAGGAUGGCGAAAGCCAAAUGGCACCAUCCUCUGACUUGCCAAAUUUGGUGCCAUCACUCUUCAAUAAAAGAGGAAAUGUCAAACCAUAUGCCUCAGCUCCAUCGCCUGGCUGCAGAAUUUUUCGGAUAAGUUCAGUCCCAGCAGUUAUAUUGCCCCACUGGUCACUUCCUCCAAUCUGAACAUUAACACCCUCAUUUCUGAAAAGGUAAAGGAAGUCAUAGCCCUGCAAGAGCUGGUAAGUGAACUCAGUAUAACUCAUUCCUUGUUCAGAUUCAAGCCUCUUCUUCACACUCUCCUUGGCAAUCAUGGUACCCACCCGAGCAUAUCUUCCAACUUGUUUCAAGAAAUCCAGUAGCCUAACCUCUUCCCACCAGUCAUAAUUAUUCAUAACCACAAUUGGGUUGUUCAAAUUCAUAUUCAUAUUGAACAUUCUAAUUAGGGUAUUAGAAAUCCCAAAGGUAUUCUUCUCCAAAGUAUCGGCAUCAAGCUCUGGCCUUUCCAGGCUCUUACCAGAUGGGUCACCGAUCCUGGCGGUGGCUCCACCAAUCAAGGCAACGGCUUUGUGGCCACACCUUUGGAACCAAGAGAGCACGAUGAUGCCAAGAAGGUUACCCAAGUGCAAGCUCUCGGCAGUGGGAUCAAAACCGCAGUAAACUUUGAGGGUGGAGUUAGAAGUAGAAGAAGCGGACCUGAGAUUGUCGCUGGUGAGGGAUUCAAGCAAGCCCCUUUCCUCAAGGAUGUCGACUACGUUGGGGCGGCGAAUUGCUUCCUGGGUUUGUGUGGUGGAAGCUUGCUGGGUAGCGUACUGCAGGCACCUAACGGGAGGGAGAGAGGAAAAGAAGACAGGAUUUUUCUUGACGAUAUUUGGGUUUAGGGAAGGUGGAAACUUAGUAGAAAGAGAGAGAGAAAAGGGAAAGGGCAAGAGUUUGAGAUGGGAUUGGGAGGAGCAGAGGACCGUUCUUGCAGCAGUGGCGGCCAUUGGACCUGGAGCGUUGCUCCCCCUGCCUCGUUAGGCUUUCGGGUUUUGG